AUUGAACGCUGGCGGCAGGCCUAACACAUGCAAGUCGAACGAGUGGCGGACGGGUGAGUAAUGUCUGGGAAACUGCCUGAUGGAGGGGGAUAACUACUGGAAACGGUAGCUAAUACCGCAUACCAUCAGAUGGGCCCAGAUGGGAUUAGCUUGUUGGGGGGGUAACGGCUCACCAAGGCGACGAUCCCUAGCUGGGCCGAGAGGAUGACCAGCCACACUGGAACUGAGACACGGUCCAGACUCCUACGGGAGGCAGCAGUGGGGAAGAUGGCACAAUGGGCGCAAGCCUGAUGCAGCCAUGCCGCGGGUGUGAAGAAGGUCUUCGGAUUGUAAAGCACUUUAAGUUGGGAUGCGUUACCAACAGAAUAAGCACCGGCUAACUUCGUGCCAGCAGCCGCGGUAAUAC
rnacentral:rRNA from 1 species